UACGUAGGGUGCGAGCGUUGUCCGGAAUUAUUGGGCGUAAAGGGCUCGUAGGCGGUCUGUUACGUCGGGAGUGAAAACUCGGGGCUCAACCCCGAGCCUGCUUCCGAUACGGGCAGACUAGAGGUAUGCAGGGGAGAAUGGAAUACCUGGUGUAGCGGUGAAAUGCGCAGAUAUCAGGAGGAACACCGGUGGCGAAGGCGCUCUGCUAGGCCGCAACUGACACUGAGGGACGAAAGCUAGGGGAGCGAAUGGG
rnacentral:rRNA from 1 species